AUUGAACGCUGGCGGCAUGCCUUACACAUGCAAGUCGAGCGGCAGCACGGGGGCAACCCUGGUGGCGAGUGGCGAACGGGUGAGUAAUACAUCGGAAUGUACCCAGUAGUGGGGGAUAACUAGUCGAAAGAUUAGCUAAUACCGCAUACGCACUAUGGUGGAAAGCGGGGGACCGAAAGGCCUCGCGCUAUUGGAGCGGCCGAUGUCGGAUUAGCUUGUUGGUGGGGUAAUGGCCUACCAAGGCGACGAUCCGUAACUGGUCUGAGAGGACGACCAGUCACACUGGGACUGAGACACGGCCCAGACUCCUACGGGAGGCAGCAGUGGGGAAUUUUGGACAAUGGGCGAAAGCCUGAUCCAGCAAUGCCGCGUGUGUGAAGAAGGCCUUCGGGUUGUAAGCACUUUGUCCGGAAGAAAUACCGUCUGGCUAAUACCCGGACGGGAUGACGGUACCGGAAGAAUAAGCACCGGCUAACUACGUG
rnacentral:rRNA from 1 species